UCUCCGUUGGUGAACCAGCGGAGGGAUCAUUACUGGAAUCGCAAGAUCCCACAACCCCUGUGAACCUACCGAAACGUUGCCUCGGCGGGCCCCCGGCCCCGCGCCGGGCGCUGAGCCCGCCGGCGGCCCCCUACUCUUGCCUCUGCAGCGUGGCGUCUCAGAGUCCCAGAAAACAAGUAAAAACUUUCAACAACGGAUCUCUUGGCUCUA
rnacentral:misc_RNA from 1 species